GCCACGGUGGUCUAGCGGUCAGAACACUAGCCUUGUAAGCCUUAGGUCCCGGGUUCAAUUCCCGGUGGUGCUC
rfam:Zootermopsis nevadensis contig19366, whole genome shotgun sequence.